ensembl:lncRNA
GUGCAGCCAAGAGGAUGGGGCUGGGGGGAGUCAAGGGUGGCUUCGGUUGACAUCUCUCGCCAAGUGCCCUCACAUGCAGCGAAGAUGGAUACGGCCAAUUUGUAGGCCCCCCAGGAAACCCCGGGUCACUGAAGAGAUGGAGCAAAGAAGGGGACAAUGGGGGAAUAGGGAGAGAAAGGCAAGACACAGGCAGAGAACUUCCAAUGUUAGACUGGACCCAAAGUUUGGAAAGUUUCCCCUUGUUGUUUGGAUGGCAACACUUGGAGUGUCUCAUGGAGCAGAGCAAAAAGCAACAUAGAGUCUUCAAAGGGGGUCAACCAGGGCCAUCAAGAUUCAAAUCACAGGACAAGAUUCAACCUGAACAUUAGAAAGAACUUCCUUAUGAGGCAGCUGGAUUUCAAUGGAGAAACCACACAUGUCCAUAUCAGAUAAUUAAGAAACAUCCCAACAAGUAUGGAAUUAUGGAAUUACCAGGCAUAAACGCAACAAGUGAUUUGAGGGAUUAGCUGGAUCAAUACGGAAAACCAAAUUUGCAUCUCCAAAAUGAGAGUCUUGGAAAUAAUGGAAUGGCUGGGCAUAAAUGAAAGAAGCGGUUUCAGAGUGAUCUAGUUAAUUUCAGCCCAGGUUUUGCUCUGAUUCCUUCCUCUCCAGAAGUGGCCAGAUUUCAGUGCACAAAAUACAAGAUCCCUGGAGGUUUCUUCUCUUGCCAAGGGCAGGGAUCAGUCCAGGGAAAGAAAGAGUUAAAUUUCCUUCUCCUUCCCUCUUUCCCCCCAUCCAAUCCUGCCAGUACAAAAGAAAAAAGAGUGUACAGAAAGAUUAAGAGUUUUGCUUUUACAAUGAGAGGCACAAAGGGGGGGAGGCGUGUCCCCUGAGGAUGUGUGAAAGGGGAAGGGGCUGCAAGGGGGGGGGGGGCAGCGGGAGGGAUGCCAUUCCCGAGAGACCAGGGUCAGGUGCCCACUGGCUCCCCACCAAAGACAGAGACUUGGGGUCCCCUCCCCAAACCCCAGCAGGGAUGUCUCGGAGAAAACAGCGCAACCCCCAGCAACUCAUCUCUGACUGUGAAGGGUCCACAGCCUCUGAGAACGAAUCCCCCAGCGAUCAUGCGCAAUGUGAGUUGGCUGGGAAAAUCUGGGAAUAGUACCCAAAAAAGUAAGUUUUUAAAGUGUGAUUGUUUGUUUCUCUCUCUCAACACACACUUUUGCUCUCUCUUAGGCUCCCUUCUACACUGCCGUAUCAAAACUAGAUUAUCUGCUUUGAACUGGAUUAUAUGGCAGUGUGGACUCAUAUAUUCCAGUUCAAAACAGAUAAUCUGGAUUAUCUCCUUUGAUAAUGUGGAUUAUAUGGCAGUGUAGAAGAGGCCUUACUUUCACGCAGUCAUAUUAAUGUAUCCAUCUUUUUUUUCCUUAAUGAUCUAUCUUUCUUCCUCCUCAUGCCUUUAACAGCACAAUCUCAAGAAAUUAGCAGAAAUUAGAUUUAAAAACUAUAACUAGCAAUGUUUAUUUUGAAGUUUAAAAAUCAGCUCAAUAAUAUUUAUGCAUUUAGCAAAUUCCCUUGUGUCCAUAGCUAGAUGUAAGGUUGAUGGUGCAAGAACCUAUUUUUUGAAAAUAGCAUGUAGAGUAAUAGGGCAAUGAUCAGUUCAAUGCCUGCCAUAGAUGUAGGCAAAACGUCCGGAGAGAAUGCUUCUGCAACAUGGCCAUACAGCCCAGAAAACUCACAGCAACCCAACAUCAGUUAGAUCAGUGAUUCUCAAGCUGGGGUCCCCAGAUGUUUUUGGCCUAGAACUCCCAGAAAUGUCAGCCAGUUUACCAGCUGUUAGGAUUUCUGGGAGUUGAAGGCCAAAAACAUCUGGGGACCCCAGGUUGAGAAUCAAUGAGUUAGAUGGUUCUAAUAUUAUCAUUUGAUUUUGCAGGGAGGAAGGGGGAUCAGAACCAUGAAUGAGAAUUGUUGUGUCUCUCCACCAUUUAGGCAAAAUGUCACUUCCAGUUCUGGAAAAUGGCCAUAGUAUGGUCCAUAUAAGGUCUGGAAGACUUGAAAAUGGCCCUUCAGCCCUUCAAGUGUUCUCACCAGACACAUAGCAUACAAACCAAACAAUAGCUCUGGUGGUUUGUAGGGAGAGCAUAACCACUCAGGUAGCUCCAAAAAGUGAGCCAAGCAGGAGAUGAGAGAACACAAGGCAUAACUUCUGUAGCAUGGAAAGUGGUGUCAAGCUGAAUUCAUUCUACAAUGUACUUUAAGUCAGUAGAAAUGUCAACUGUGGUCAGCACGUUUUCAUUAAACAUAUAAUACAAUUGCUGUGCUCUCUUGCACCCAAUGUCUCUAAUCCUAUAUGCAUUUACUUGGAAGUAAUUCCUCUUGAAUGCAGUGAUUUUUCUUCCUGGACAAAUAUUCAUGAAUUAAUUCUCAGCAAAAUUAAUGUAGUUUGAUACCACUGAAUGCUAUGGGAUCAUGGGAGGUGUAUUUUUACAAGGUAUUGAGCCUUGUAUGCCAAAGACGAUUGGUUCCUGACCAAAGUACAACUUCUUAGAUUUCAUAGCAUUGAACCAUGGCAGUCAAAGUGCAUUAAUUCUAGAUGCAUCCGUAAACACAGCACAUGGAUCAGGUACACAUUAAGACCUUUUGCCAGGCUAUCUUUCUUCAUUCACAGAUGCCAAUUCCACAGGUGUGCAUGGAUUGUGCCCAUAAUCCCACAAAUUGUUGCAUACUCUCACAUGGAUUUGGCCAUGCUAUCCUUCCCAUGUUCUGGCACCAAGAGAAUGCUUGCAUCCCGUUUUGCAUCUCUUUUCUUUGCUCCCAUGCAUUCUCUCGCCCGGUUCUUUCACAGCCCUGUGCGUCCUUUCAUGCACAGACCGGGGUCACACACACAUGCAUUCGGCCACACUUCCUCGCCCACAUAUUUUUGUUGCCUCUUUUCUCUGCUCUUUGUGCUGUUGCUAAGUUACUCAUGGAGGUCUAGAUAGUCCCACUUGAGCUAAGUUAAAUUCUCCAUCCCCCCUCCGCUUUUGGGGGGCUUUUGCUUGUGACAAUUGACUAGCCCCUUCUGAAAUUUUCAAGGCAAAGACAACAUUCAAUAGGCUUUUUCUCAUUCUCCCUGGAAGAACUCAUGUUUAGCUGCAGUGGGCAAGUUUGCAAUCUCUUUGGGAAGUGUUUGUUUAGGUGCGAGGAAAUUGGAUUGCAAAUUAAGGUGGAAAGCCUGCCUUCCGGGCUGAUGGGGUCAUUGUGCGCAAGUGUUCCUGAGCAAACUUCAGCAGACAUAUUUAUGUGCGAUCCAUGUGCCUGUAUGUUUGCACAAACUGUUCGCUAUAUUUCAAAGCAAUGUGCAGCCCAACCCUGUGUGGGAUAUAACGUUGUUAGAUCUCAGGAUCUGGACCUGAACUUUCGUGGAUCCCUCCAGAUGGGAGACACAAGUACAAAUGCUCUCUAGUUCAAACAGGACUCCACUUUGAGUUAACAGGAAAAGGCUAUUUGUAAUCUCAAGACCAGGUGGGAGAGCAAGAUUUUGCUACAAUUAGGUUUAACUGAUUUAUUAAGGGGGAUGUUUUCUUAAUUGGAUUCCUCCUAGUUGUUGUGGUGCCAGGACUUACCUUCCACUCUGCCUUGCAGUUUUGACAUUUGCAAAUCUGAUUAUUCACAAACUAUUCUCUUUGAGAAUCUCUAGGUUCUCCAGUGUGACCCUGUAGUUACCUUUUUCCCGUCAUAGAAUGAUAGAGUUGGAAAAGACCUCAUGGGCCAUCCAGUUCAACCCCAAGAAGCAGGAAAAUCACAUUCAAAGCACCCCUGACAGAUGGCCAUCCAGCCUCUGUUUAAAAGCCUCCAAAGAAGGAGCCUCCACCACACUCCGGGGCAGAGAGUCCCACUGCUGAACAGCUCUCACAGUUAGGAAGUUCUCCCUAAUGUUCAGGUGGAAUCACUAGGUUCCCCAGUGUGAGCCUGUAGUUAUCCUUCCUCCAGUCAUGCUGUAGGAGUUGGAGAUUUCUAGAGGAAACAUGUCUCUAGGAAUCUCUAAGUCCCCCAAUGAGAUUCUAUGGUCAGCUUCCAGUGAAAGGUACCAGAUCCCACCUGAUCUUAGAAGUUAAGCAGGAUCAGCUCUGGUUAUUAUUUGGAUGGCAGACAGUCAAUUAUACCAGAUACUGUGUAGACUAAAGCAUGACUUCUUAAACCACCAGGGCUCAAUGCUAGGGAAUCCUGGGAGUUGUAAUUUUACAAGGUCUUUAGCUUUCUCUGACAAAGAGCGUUGGUGCCUCAGCAAAGUACAAUUUCCACUCUUUCAUAACAUUAGCCAAGCCAGUUCAACUGGUGUGAAACAACAUUAAUUCUACAAUGCAGAUCAGCCAUGGGUAAACCUCAGCCCUCCAGAUGUUUUGGACUUCAUCUCCCACAAUUCCUACUGGAUGUUAGGAAUUAUGGGAGAUGAAGUCCAAAACACCUGGAGGGCUGAAGUUUGCCCAUGUCUGAUGUAGAUGCAUCCUAGCUCUGUUCUUCCCAUCUAUCUACUCGCUGAAUCCCAUGCAACCUCCCAGGUGUGUUGUGAAGCCGGAGCUCAGUGCCCUUCCUCCCUUC